rnacentral:rRNA from 1 species
GUCCUAGCCGUAAACGGUGCAUAUUUGCUGUAAAAGGAAUCGACCCCUUUUGUGGCGAAGCUAACGCGAUAAAUAUGCCGCCUGGGAAGUACGGUCGCAAGAUUAAAACUCAAAGAAAUUGACGGGGGCCUGCACAAGCGGUGGAGUAUGUGGCUUAAUUCGAUGCAACGCGAAGAACCUUACCUGGCCUUGACAUGUAUCUAGUAGAAGGGUGAAAGCCUGACGAGAUAGCAAUAUCAGGAUACACAGGUGCUGCAUGGCUGUCGU